UCGCGUGCCUCUCAUCCCUUCGCCGGGCGGCUCACUCCAUAUGCGACCGACCUGGGUGAUGACCGAUGCCGGGCUAGAGCAACGGAUCCAUGACGACCGCGCUGGUUCGGGAAGCGCCUCGCCGAGCGAUGGGGCACAGGGUCAGCUCGAUCUGUUUGGUUACACAACACGGCAGGAUGGAUUGUGGCGGCAACACAUGCAUCCGCCCUUUGAAGUACUAUUGCUAAUCCAAAGAUUGAUUGAGAGUUUAAUCAGCCAUUACUACCAGUCAAUGCGCAGACUGCUGGUUAUUGUAGGUUAUGUACAAGACGAAUUCGAGCACAUAUUGUUGGGUUUCUUACCUUUUUCCAGCUGAAUUUGUCAGUAUCCAAUGGCUAACAGAUGGCCGAGAUGUGAUUAUAUUACUGGAGGGUGUCGAAUUCAGUGGCCAUAUUCUUAUUGUUUCCUGUAGAUCUUGUAUUUGCCAAGAACCUACCUAUGGUGAGAUCAAUCGCUGAUGGUUUCAGUCUGUGCCAUCUUCAUGGCUGAGAACAUGAAAAACCGAGCACUCGAGCUACCUUUGAAGGAGAAGGCUCCGAGCGCGGUUAAGCCAAAAUGGCAAUAUCCAGGUGCAGGUUGGAUUAAGAUGAAUACAGAUGGAUUCACUGAUUCAGUGAACGGUCGUGGAGGUGCGAGGAUCAUUAUCCGGGAUGAUCAAGGGGCGUUCUUACGAGCGAAGUGUGCUAAGUAAGUUGGAGUUACUGACCUGCUAUCCAUUGAGUUACUGGCCUGUCGCGACGCGAUGAUAUUAGCACGCAAUAUGGGACUGCAAAGAGUGAUAGUGGAAACAGAUUCUCAUGAGAUUCAGAGUCUGUGGAGUGCACCCCAGAAAUCGGUGGGUGUUCAUAUCUUAGGUGAGAUGAAGGAAAUAAGUGAUCUUCUACAGGGGUUCGAGCUUCGAUACUCGGGUCGUCAGAUUAACUUGGCGGCCUACCGACUAGCUAAGGAAGCUUUAGUUAUAGAUAUGCAUGCUGUAAUCUUUGAUGUAAUCUCUGGCUGGUUGACUGUAUUUUUCCAGUGAGACAUGCUUGCACCUAUUGAAUAAAGUGCGAG